rnacentral:rRNA from 1 species
AGAGUUUGAUCAUGGCUCAUAGCGAACGCUGGCGGCGUGCUUAACACAUGCAAGUCGAGUGCGCAGUUCUCUGUAGCAAUACAGGGGAUGGGCGCACGGCGCACGGGUGCGUAACACGUGGGCAAUCUGCCCUCGGAUGGGGGAUAACUCGCCGAAAGGCGAGCUAAUACCGCAUGACAUUCCGAAGACUCCGGUCUUUGGACUCAAAGGCCGCAAGGCCGUCUGAGGAGGAGCCCGCGCCCGAUUAGCUAGUUGGUGAGGUAACGGCUCACCAAGGCUUUGAUCGGUAGCCGGUCUGAGAGGAUGGCCGGCCACACUGGAACUGANACACGGUCCAGACUCCUACGGGAGGCAGCAGUGGGGAAUAUUGCGCAAUGGGCGAAAGUUUGACGCANCGACGCCGCGUGGGUGAUGAAGGCCUUCGGGUUGUAAAGCCCUGUGGGGGAGAGANNAAUAAGUCGGAUCUAAUAACUCCGAUGAUGACGGUAUCUCCUUAGCAAGCACCGGCUAACUCUGUGCCAGCAGCCGCGGUAAGACAGAGGGUGCAAACGUUGUUCGGAAUUACUGGGCGUAAAGCGUGUGUAGGCGGCUACGCAAGUCGGAUGUGAAAUCCCCAGGCUCAACCCGGGAAGUGCACCCGAUACUGCGUGGCUUGAGUACCGGAGAGGUUGGUGGAAUUCUCGGUGUAGAGGUGAAAUUCGUAGAUAUCGAGAGGAACACCGGUGGCGAANGCGGCCAACUGGACGAGUACUGACGCUGAGACACGAAAGCGUGGGGAGCAAACAGGAUUAGA